UAACACAUGCAAGUCGAGCGGUAGCAGGUCCUUCGGGAUGCUGACGAGCGGCGGACGGGUGAGUAAUGCAUAGGAAACUGCCCAGUAGUGGGGGAUAGCCCGGGGAAACCCGGAUUAAUACCGCGUACGCCCUUCGGGGGAAAGCAGGGGCUCUUCGGACCUUGCGCUAUUGGAUGUGCCUAUGUCGGAUUAGCUGGUUGGUGGGGUAAAGGCCUACCAAGGCGACGAUCCGUAGCUGGUCUGAGAGGAUGAUCAGCCACAUCGGGACUGAGACACGGCCCGAACUCCUACGGGAGGCAGCAGUGGGGAAUAUUGGACAAUGGGGGCAACCCUGAUCCAGCCAUGCCGCGUGUGUGAAGAAGGCUUUCGGGUUGUAAAGCACUUUCAGUGGGGAGGAAGGCUCAAAGGUUAAUACCCUUUGGGAUUGACGUUACUCACAGAAGAAGCACCGGCUAACUCCGUGCCAGCAGCCGCGGUAAUAAGGGCGAAUUC
rnacentral:rRNA from 1 species